UUUCUAGGAUAAGUAUGUUCCAUCAAAUAUUUAGGACAUACUUAUGGUUAAUA
rnacentral:miRNA from 1 species